UCUAAAGAAUCGAGGAGAUGAAGAUCGUCUCUCCCCUUUGUUCGACGGCGGUGAAGCCUGAGAUUCUUCUCACUUUCUGAAACUGUCUUCGUGUUUUCCAUGGACGCAAAACAUGGGAUCUUUCAAAGGCUCCAGCUUCACUUAUCUCAUCGUCUUUCAGACGCUAUUAUAUCGGUGAUUGCGACUAUAGAGAUUUUUUCCGGUGGAUUGGUUUUGGUCACCGACGGAUCUGAAUAUCUGAUAAAGCUUACUGCUACGUGGGGAGUCCAGUUUCACAUCAAUGGGUUAAAAUCCCUCCACCUCCCUCUGAUCUAAAGGUGAUUCUACCGUAUUUGGUUUAAUGACUCGCUUGGACGAGGACAGUGUCGUUUUGAGCUUUAAAGUGAUUAGGAUAGCUUCUUCGAGUUGAUUCACACGCCCGCGAUUAGCUAUCUAAAACGAUUUAACAGGGAUGGAGUUCUGAUUUUAAGGAGAUUAGAUUCAAGAUUAUCUAAAGACUUACCCUCUGAUCUCCGGAAGCUCCGUUAUAAGGCAGCGUUUGAAGCACUGAAUGAAGUUCUCGCCAAGGGUUAUGGAGAUAGGGAAGAAGCUUGCAGAAAGGAUGAGGAGCAAAGGUCUUUACAUUGCCCUUCAUCUUCGACUU